rnacentral:lncRNA from 1 species
UUCAGGUGCCCAGGGCGGUGCCGAAUGGGACCGGGCUCUCCUUCCUGUGCGCGGGCGGACGGGGACAAUGGCUCCGACCUGGCCCAUGAAUCGCAGCCUGGGCUCGCCCUGCAAUCAGCUGUGCUGCUCACAGGAAACGAGCCACCUGCCCUGCUUCCUCUCAUUUAACUGGUUUAUUUUUAAGUGGAAAAGGCUGUGAGUUUUGUUCCUUUUUCUCAGGGACUUCAGGUCCCUGAAGGCUGCUGCAGAACAGUACAGGCAGCCUCGGGAGCCUGCCUGUGGGAACCACUUGCUGGUAUCUUCACGCAGCAGCACAGAACUAAAGCCAGGGCUAUCUGCAAGGUGUUCAUGGACCAAAAUACUGGGCACAGUGGCAGAAACUCCUGAAGUUAUCGGAGCCUCAUUCUGCCACGUUCACAAGGAGAGCAGUGGAAAAUGUAACUGAACAAAAAGGCAGGUCCUGGCACACUUCUGUAGCUGUGCUGUCCAAGGCUGCAUCUCUUGCUGCUGUUCGUGUGGUCCUGGUGAGCAGAGAGGCUCUCCAGCUGGGAGGCAGCACGACUGCCACCAGUUUGAUCUGGACUUUUGCUGACAUCUACAGUGAUAUCCCCUGUAAGACUGUCUCACUGUCCAGACGGUACCAUCCUGCUUUCCUGGAUUUUUCCUCUACAAAUCAGUUCUGUAAAACAUCAAGGUGGCCUAAUUAUUUUCUAUGCUUUGAAGAAAAGUGUUGUGUUUGUGCUCUUCCAUUCAGCCCCUGCAAUGCCUCCAGCCUGUACCACGUUGCUCCUUGUGAAGACAGCUGGCCUAACUCCAGCUGGGUGCUGUGGGUCCAGAUAUGUCACCUCCUGGGAAGCUCUUGUCAAAUGACACAGCUGAUGAGGACUUCAAACUCACCAUGCAGUGCUGUCCCAAGGAACAGAACACAAGAGCUCCUCCAAAGUCUUCUCCAGCAUCAUACCUGGGUUGCCUUGUCUCUGCCAGCAGCACACGUGCUGUCUCUCCUGGAGCACCUGAAAAUAGUGACAGCAUCUCCUUGCUGGGGGACGUCAUGGUGAGAUGCUGAGAGGUUCGCUGCUUUCACAACUUUGGCUGGUUUGUCUUUGGAUGCUUGGUUAGUUCCAGCCAUGCACUAAGCACUGCUCAGCUCCUAAAAGGAAACACAGAGCUUGACCCAAGGUGCUGGCUGAGUUCUGAAAUGGGGGGAGGAAUCCUACUGACAGAGAGUUCAGGGACAGAAGAAAUGAUCCUGUUUGCUCUUGUCACUCAUAAUUAGAAGUUGGAAAAUUCUUUGUGUUGGCCCAGUGACAAUCAGUUUUGGCUGUCAAAGCUGUUAGAAAUCUUGUGUUUUUCUGCCUGCUCGCUUGGAUCCACUUUUUCAUUGGCUGCUGUGGCUCAGCUAGUGUGAGUUUUUUUGGUAAAUGUUUGAUCUAUUUGUUUCUAGAAAUCUUGCAGGGCGUGAAUUACUGGAAAUGAAGCAAAAUGUACCAGACAAUCUCAGUGCAUUCUUUUCAGCUCAAAAGGGACUCAUUUGUCCCUUUUCUCCUUUUAGACAUUUCCUCUUUUCUUUCUGGCCUUGUUGUAUUAUUUACUUCAUGGGCCAUUUGUUAUCUGAUUUUUGGCGAAAUAUCAGGGAAAUUUUCCUGACAGUGAACAGGAAAGAGAUGUCUUAAGGGAACAACAACAGUUUCUUUUCCUGGGAGAGCUGGAAAAUGAGAUGAGCUCCAAUGUUGUCCUUGCUGAGACAAAGUUUGGGGACUGCGGUGUGCUUUGUUGGACUCAGCUGUGCAGCUGGUGAGGCUUGACCAGCUGGGCUUUUGGUUCAUUUUUUCCUGGGGUGUGUUAAAGUUGAUAUUUCUCCCUGGAAAUCUUGCCUCCCUGCUGUGAUGGACAGAGGUACCAUCGUAGGUGAGCUGAGGUCCAUGCGUGUGACUCCGUGGAGGCUGUGGGUCUUCUCAUCUCAGGGUGUGAACAUCUUUGUAGCUACAGGCAUCCCAAGCAGAUAGUAAAAUGAGCAACCAUCUCUCUUGAGUCCUCGGCUUCCUCAGCACAGCUGAA